ACUCCCUCCCUUGCAGCCGUUGCCUCCUCACCUUCGUCUUUAGCGCCGGGCGCCGGCGCUGGCGGACGGAAGACCGCAGGAGCGUGUGCGGAGGCUGGAGGACCAUGGUGGCGCAGCGGAGGUACGGCGGCGGAGGAGCGUCGUGGCCUAGAGGUUGAUUCGGGCCGCAGCCAGCAGGGCCGCCGUCCUCCAUUCAGGCCUAUUUCCAUGGAAACCGGGUUGCUUCGUGUCCCUGUCAGUUUCCCCUUCUGCUUUCUAACGCUUGCACUUCCUCCGUCGCCGGUCGUCGUGGCUACUCUGGUAAGCCAUCUCUCUCCCCCUCUGUAAUUUUUCCCCAAGCCGAUUUGAUUCCUAAUCUUGGGUUUCGAACAUGGAAAUUGCUAUGGCUUUGGUGGCGUCACCGUGGAUCCUCCGCACCAUCCAUUGUCUCCCAGCUUGCAGAGAAUAGGCCCUGAGCAAUGUGAAUCUGUAUAUUUACAAACGUCAAGAUACUAGAAAACAAAAUCCAGUUUGAUUGACUUCACGUGUUAGUGAACAGCCGUGAUUCUCGUGCUGUGGCAAACCCCCCUGAGAUUGCUGGUCCAUAAGGUAUAAAUCCAUCUUUUGCUUCGAGCAUAACAGUUGAUGUAUGCAGCUAUAGAGGUUUCUCGAUGCUCUGCAAAUUUUCCUUCCAGUUCAGUCAUUCGCCAAUUGAGGUCAAACCUGCAACUGCCUUUAGUUUUUAUUCCCCUUAUUUUCAUACUGGAUAUCCUCAUUGUCCGUGUCAAUCUAGGUGACAUGUCUAUUUUGAAACCAAGCUACACAUAAUUUUGAAUAUGCAGGUUGUUUUCCAAUGCUCUACAAAUUUUCCUUCCAAGUUAGUCAUCUGCCAUUGAGGUCACCCCUGCAGCUAUCUUUAGUUUUUAUUUCCAUCAUUUUUCAUACUGCAUUCUGUAUGCUCAUUGUCGAUGUCAAUGCAGGUGAUAUGUAUAUUCUAAAGUCAGGACUAAUUCAGCUACACAUAAUUUUGGAUAUGCAUGUCUUAUCACAUUAUAUACUCCUUGCUCAACCUUUUGAUGGAUCUAAUUUAGUAAUUUUAUGACUUGCAACAUAUAUCUUAACGAAAUGAAAGAAUUGUGAUUAGUGUAUGAUUUGCUAAAAUGUGCCUCCUUUUGUGAUGUACAAGUGCCAAAUUGGCACUUCUAUUGUUGUAUUAAAAUUUGCAUUAGCAAUCAAGAAGUUAGUAGAGGUUCAUUUUGCUUGCCAUCACUUACUCAAAUUAGUUCUAUUGGUCAUUAGGUACAUUUCUUUGUAAAACCUACAUCCUGUAGCGUGUACUCAUGCAAAUUAUAAUUAUUAAAUGAAGCAUAUAUUCUCUUUAAAAAAUGUGUAAUGGGUUACACUUUGCUUUACUAUUCUCUAUUUUUCAUCUCAAGAGCAGUUCAUUUCGGACCUGAGCGUCAUAACCAGAUCACUUGAUAAUCUUACUAUUUUUAGUUGUUUAAUGGAUGAUGGUGUUGCCAAAAUCUACAUUCUCUGGAUUUGCUAUGCUUGAUUGCUUGCAGGAAAGGUACAAUUACAUUGGUCAACCAUGAUUUGAACUACUACGCAACGGCGGUGUUUAGCAUUAGCAUUUCAUAUUGACGUGUAUGAUUGUAAAACAAACGGCUAUUUUCACACUAGCCUGGAAUGUCUAGGUCCUUUUUAGCACUGAAUUUUUUUCCUUUUUCAUUUCUUACACUGUACUGACAGGGUUAUAACUUAUAUGAAUUUAUGGAAUGUGCCACCAUUGUUUUGUUAUUUU